rnacentral:rRNA from 1 species
UCGAGAAUUUUUCUCAAUGGGGGAAACCCUGAAGGAGCGGCGCCGCGUGGAGGAUGAAGGUCUUCGGGUUGUAAACUCCUGUCAUUUGGGAACAAUGCUACCGAGUUAACUGUUCGGUAGUUGAUAGUACCAGAAGAGGAAGAGACGGCUAACUCUGUGCCAGCAGCCGCGGUAAUACAGAGGUCUCAAGCGUUGUUCGGAUUCAUUGGGCGUAAAGGGUGUGUAGGUGGCGCUGUAAGUCGGGUGUGAAAUCUCGGGGCUUAACUCCGAAACUGCAUUCGAUACUGCGGUGCUUGAGGACUGGAGAGGAGACUGGAAUUCAUGGUGUAGCAGUGAAAUGCGUAGAGAUCAUGAGGAAGACCAGUGGCGAAGGCGGGUCUCUGGACAGUUCCUGACACUGAGACACGAAGGCCAGGGGAGCAAAC